UAUAUUUGCGCCCGUAAUAGACGAGCUAUUACCAUACAUAAGAAUCAUUUAAACAAUAUUGGCAUG
rfam:Sinomicrobium oceani strain CGMCC 1.12145 genome assembly, contig: IQ32DRAFT_scaffold00009.9